UGUGCAAGUGAGGGUUUUGUCUGGCAGUCAUGGCGAGCUCCUGAGAUGCAAACAUUUCAAUGCUUGGAUGACUUUGGUGAAGCCAUUGAGGCAUCAAAGAAAGCACUGUGAUGGACUGGCGAAGGUGUACCCCGCCCCUUGACAGUAGCUGGGAUAGGUUCCAGAAGCCCCAUGACCUCGAUUUGUAGCAGUUUUGAUUUUGCUUUUCGCCACUGGCUGGACACAGAAGACUGCAAAAGCAUUUGCCAAAAGGAUAUCUUUCUUACAGAAUAACAUUGCAUUCUUUUAACAAGUGCACAUUAAUAGAUUUCUUUUCAAAUUACUUUGAGCAAACAUCUGUUAGUCUGCAUGCAUGCAGUCCCAUUUGCACAUUUGCAGAAUCUGUGUGCAUUUUCCUAAAGAAUAACAGAGUGUUUCUCUGUGUGUUUAAGCACAUAUGCGCAUGUUUACACAUAAGUGUGCUUUUGAGAGACUUUUUCCUGCAAGUGCUGUGAUGUCAGCUAUGUCUGGCGACAGUGUGAUUAAUGUCUGAAUGUUUUCCAGCUAUUUAGCCCUGAAAAAGCUCCUCUGGGCACUCCUCACAUUUUCAGGGUAAACAGGAAGAAACAAGUUUAACGAUAACAGAUGAUGAAGACAGAAGAUGGUCAAGAUGGUCUUUACUUCCCUUAUCAGAUCUCAGCGCAAUCAAUCUGAGUAUUUUAUUCCACAGAUUGGAGCAUGUCUUUGCAGGAAACAUAAAAGGGUGAAAAAAUUCUUAUGUUUUUUGUUAGUCAACUUGGAUUUUAAUGCAGAAAGAUGAAACAUUUUAAGCUUUUUUGUGCAAUCAAUUUUGAUAGUCUACAGUUAUAGAAACCUCAACUUUA